ensembl:lncRNA
AAAAAAAAAAUAUUCUUUAGAAAUAUUUAACCUCCACACAUUAACAAGUCCAAUACCUCAAAUGAAAGAUAAACACCUUGUUCAUCUACCCAGCGUGUCAGAUUUUUUACAUGUUUUACGGCGAAAACACAACAAAACGUAGCCAUUUUUUCCAGCAAAAGAUAAAAAUCACAAAAGCAGGAUAAAAAAAAAAUCAAUCACUAACCUCUUAAAUCUUCAUCAGAUGACAGUCAUAUGACAUGUUACACAGUACAUUUAUGCUUUGUUCGAUAAUAUGCAUUUUAUAUCCAUAAAUCUCGGUUUACAUUGACGCCAUGUUCAGAAAAUCCUCCAAAAUAUCCGGAGGAAUUAUAGAAAGCUACGCCAGAUAACUGAAAUACUCAUAAACUUUGACUAAAGAUACAUGUUCUACAUAUAAUUAAAGAUACACUGGUUCUUAAUGCAACCGCUGUGUCACAUUUUUUUUUUACGUUACGGAAAAAGCCUAACAUUGCAAUAAUCUGAGACGGCGCUCCACUUUCAGCUCAAAUGCCCAAAAAAUGACUUCUGGUCCAGGAUAACUUUGCAUCAAAACUUCCAAAUGACAUAUUACAGGUCGAAGAAACUGGUCAAACUAAGUGCAGAAUCAAUCUUCAGGAUGUUAUAAUCAUACAGAUCCAAUAGCAUUCCAACCGGAUCAUUCAUUUUCAUCUGGGGCUGAUUGGAACAGCCGAAGCACUCAAAGGCAAACGCGCCUCAACAAAAUGGAAUCCUUUUGCGACACCAACUACUUUCCUUCCCAUUAGGUCAAAGUUCACAGCAAAUGCUCCAUUACACUUUCUACUGAAUGAGGACAUCUAGUGGAAGACGUAGGAAGUGUUUACAGAUCCAUAACUUGUUGGGAAGGGAGGGGGCGAUGACGUCAAAGUUGCCCCAACUUUCAGGAUUUCAAAACUUGUUUGGAAGAUUGCCUGCCCUGUGAGUUCUGUUAUACUCACAGACAUAAUUCAAACGGUUUUAUAAACUUCAGAGUGUUUUCUAUCCAAUAUUAAUAAUAAUAUGCAUAUAUUAGCAAUUUAGGACAGAUUUUGAUGAGGUUCACUAUGGGCACGCAAUUCAUCCAAAGUGGAAAUACUGCCCCCUAUCUCUAACAAAAUCUCGUUCUCUGAGAAAUUGUAUUGGUAUAAAAUAAUAAUUGCAUUCAUUAUUGCUCAUAUUUAUCAAGGGUGUCAAUACUUUUGGACCCCACUGUAACCUAUGUGCCCACACUGGUCUUUGCACGUGCUCUCUAGCCAAAAGCUUGCAGAUAGAGUGCAGGUAGGCUACCGACAUGAUGAAUUUCCUAUUAUGGACAAAAGAGCAAGAUUAUUUUUACUUGUCAAACGGCAGCCAAGCAUCGAUCAUCAUGUCACCAGAAUAAGACUCAAUAUUUAUUGGAAAACAGCAUUAAGCUUAUCACCGUGCACUUUCUCCACCCUCAUAACUUAUUCCAUCUGUAGCAUAAUACACUCCAUGCUUUUCCGAGUCGUAGUGGGUGGACCACACAUGUCAUUGUGUGACUCCAAGUUCGAUAUGAUGGUUAUUGUAUUAAUAUUUGUGUAUAAUUAAUUUUACUGACACAAAAAGAUCCCACCUUGUCCAGAUUCUGUUUGAAUUAUUUUAUUUUUCUAUCCCACAUGUACUUUACUCUCAUAAAAAAGUUAGUUGGAAACCUGGUUACUGUUGUCCAGUUUAUUCCCCAUCAAUAUAGGACAUUUAGCAACGUACAAUAAUUCCGGUAAGAGUAUACUGUUUGAUAUGUAAGUAUUGUACAGUAUGUAUAUCUGUUCCCUAAGUUAUAACCUUUUCAUUGACCAACAUGUAUUUAUGGACAUAUAUCUAUAUCUCCGUACACUUUGGCUUUUGAUCAUGUUGAUGCUAGAGUUAGAUGCACUGCUGCUGAACAUUUCCGAAGGGGUUUGAGCAUUUUUCUUUGAGAAUACCCAAAAGUCACUAUUAACUGACAGCUUACCAAAAUCAUUUGAGAUUCCGUAAGCAUUUGUGGAUUGAUAAGAUUUAAUUUAAUUUUCAUACAAAUGGUUGUACCUAAUGUCGGCAUUAGGUCUAUGAGCCCUAAGUCCGUCACAUGUUUGACAAAUACUGUACAGUAGCAUAUAGAAUAUAUGCAAUGUGGUCCGUCCAAAGCUUAUUAAAAACACACUUCGAUGCUUUAUGCACUCCUGAAUCUAAAGUGUAAGCCUUAAAAGGACAUGAAAGUGGGAGAUUGUAUCAGGUAUUUAUGGCAAAUCUACCUUUAGAGUUAAGUUUAUUCCAUCAUGAUGUUGCAUAAUUUGUUUGAUCUUGGUACUGUAUAUUAGAUCAUGUUCAGGGUAAUGUCAGCUUUAUCUUGGGAUAUUCCAUCCUCUGGCCUAUGUUUUUAAAUGGUGUUCAAUGCUCAGGACAUGCGCUCCAUUGGUGUGUUUUCAACUUUGUGGCAACCGUUUGGGGAAGGUCAAUACAGAAAUGGUUUGUUGAGAUUGGUGUGGAAGAACUUGACUCCAUAUUAAUGCCCAUGAUUUUGGAAUGAGAUGUUCAAUGAGCAGGUGUCCACAUUGGCCACGUCGUGUAUAAACGCAACAUGCAAUAAUUUCAAAGAUUUUAAUGAGUUACAGUUAUAGGUUAUAAGGAAAUCAGUCCAAUUGAAAUAUAUCCAUUAGGCCCUAAUCUAUGGAUUUCAAAUGGGAAUACAGAUAUGGAUCAGAAAACCAAGAAACUGUCCUUGGAAUUGUGGGUGCCGAAUGAUUUCCUAGUAGCCUGCUGAUAUUGUUUGGCACUGCCAAAGCUUUAUGACAGCUGCAAUGCAAUAGGAAUAUAAGGCUUUAAGCAGGGCUAAGGGUUGUAUUUCAUAUUGUAUUUAGGAAUGCAUGCACUACACUGGAGCAGUUAAAUCGGAGCAGAAACCGUUCUUAUCUGAAUUAGGUACCGAUUUGUAAAACAUGAUUCUUUUAUAGUGUAAACACUCCUUUCAUGUGGAGUUUUAAUGUUAGGAGCGGGUAUAGUCCUUACAUUUGCCAGAUGGGAGUUUUUUAUUUUUCCCCCUUUUUUUUAACACCAAGUGCUUUUGAAACAACCUUUUUUUGUCAUCAAUGGCUGAUGUCACUUGCCAGAUAUGUACCAGUAAGGAUUCUGCCCAUAGACAAAGUACAGUUCUAUUUCAAAUAUAUUGUUUCGACAUCUCACAAUGGCCGUUGUCUUAGAUGGAUUCUCUAAUGGAAGAACCAAUCACAGCAGAGCUAUUGAGCCUGCUGCCGCUGCUACGCAAAACCCCCAGCUACGCAGCAGGCUGUCAACCCACAUUUCGGCCUUUCCCAGAGGCCGACGUGGUCCGUCGCUGCGACCGCAUCGAGGUCCCGCCCACCUGGAGGGAAGGAGGGGCAUCUGACCUAGGGGUACGUGCCCGACCGUAGAGGCAGCCAACAGAUCACUAUGGGGCAGAGGCACAUCUCUACUCCUAAAACACUACCACUCGUGCAGCGGUGCACUUCUAUGCAUCUGCUCACAGGGACCACCACUGGUGAGCAAGUCAUCUGACUUGUGAGCAACUCGCUGCAGGAAACUGGCGAGCAUGUGCAGUCAAUGCCAGCCCUAUUCUGGAUCUACGGAUCCUCAACAGAUUUCUGAGAAAGUCCAUAUUCUGUAUGCUUACGCUUAACGUGCUGUCUCGCUCUGUUGAGGCGACUGGUUCAUUUUCGUAGAGACCGUAAGAGAAAGACAGAUUGGAGAUCUGUUUGUACCGGAUUCGAACCCACGCCAGCGGCCCUAACUGCUAGGCUGUCGCAGGACGCUUAUUUUCACAUAAGUAUUCUGCCGACACACAGGAGGUUUCUCAGGUUCGCCUUUCAAGGCAAAGCUUCCGAAUACCUCGCUGUUUUCUUCGGGCUAGCGUUGGCUCCCUGAACGUUCAAGUGUGUAGAGGCGGCGCUAGCACCCCAGAGGGGUUAAAAGUAUCCUCUUACAUAGACCAUUACCUGCUUUGCUCCCCUACACAGAAGCAAGCGAUACUAGACAUGGCUUCUCUUGUAUAGCACUUCACCGAGCUAGGGUUCAAGGUCAACCAGAAAAAGAGCUGUUUGGUGCCCACUCAGAGAAUAGAAUACCUUGGCGUCAAGCUGGAUUCUCUCUUAUCGGGCUACACUAUUGGACGGCCACGCUCAAAACAUGUCUCCGAGUUCUUGGGUUGAUGGCGUCCACCUCAGUAGUACCACUAGGACUACUGAGAAUGACACUUCCAGAGUUGGGUAAAAACUGUCAACGUUGGUACCUCAAUCGAAAGAUGAAGGUUUCCACGGACUGUCUCUCAGCUCUCCAUCACUGGAAGAUCCCCUCAAUCUUCUUUUCAGGCACCCCCUUAGGGGUAGUGUCAUCGAGGAAGGAGGUGACGACAGAUGCAUCAGUCAAAGGAUGGGGCGCAGUUCAUGAGGGAAGAGCAAUAAACAGACUGCGAUCCCCACAGUUCCACCACGCUCGUAUAAAUGACCUCAAACUGCUGAGUCUUUCAUUUGAAAUUGUUACAUCCUGGUCAGAACAGACAAUAUUACUGGAGGCAUUCAUCAACCAUCAGGAUGGCACUUUCUCACUGCGCUUAGACUGCCAAGAGUAUUCUGUGGAGCAGUGCACAUCUCUCAUUAUGCGUGACUCAUGUCCUGGGUGUACUGAAUGUGGGAGCGGACUUGUUGUCCAGGGGGAAUCCCAGAUCUGGGGGAGAGUUACUGUAGAUCGCUUCACAGAAAGACACAUUGUCCCUUGGCCAAGAGUGUUGCUCUAUGCUUUCUCUUCUAUGCUUGAUCCUCCUCUCUCUGAACAGAGUGAGGGAACAAGGCUUAUCCCUGAUCUUGAUAGCCCCUCGAUGGCCAGGAAAGCUCUGGGUAGCAAAGCUCGCUUUACGACGAGCCCUGGCAGCUACCAUUACGCAAGGGAUCUACUGACCCAAGCGAACAGAGAGAUUUUCCACCCUUACCCGGAAACCAUGACCCUCACUGUAUGGGAACAAGUGGUGCGUAUUUGAGAGGUGGUGUGACCAGAAACAGAAUUCCUUACCAAUGCUCUGUAUCCAAGGUUUUAUGCUUCUUGCAGGAUUUUAGACGGAGGGGAGGCAUUCUCCACUGUUAAGGUUUAUUUAGCCGUCAUAUCUGCCUGUCGUAUAGACUUCAACAAUCACACAGUAGGGAAAUGCCCUCUUAUGUUUUAUGAAGAGUGCGUCGUUUACGCCGUCGCCAAGCCUUUAACUCAGUCUUGGUACUUUGCUUGAGGCAAUUUCCCAGCAGCCUUUCCCAGCAGUUGCUGGAAAGUGUGGAGAUGAAAUAUCUCUGCCCAAAACGAGUGAGUGAGUUGCAUGCACUGUCAGUUCAACAUUCAUGCCUACAGUUUGCCCCAGGGUUAUCCAAGGUAACACUGUAACUCAACCCUGCUUUCAUGCCUAAGGUCAGCGGCAAUUACAAUUGUCUAGUCUUGGAGUUUAUGGCUUUCCACCCGCUGCCCUUCACUUCUAUGGAAGAAGAGCAUCUCCACCGUUUGUGUCCAGUACGAGCUUUGAACAUCUAUUCUGAACAGAAAUAUAAAGCGCAACAUGCUAAAAAUGUAAGGAAAUUAGUCCAUUUAAAUAAAUUAACUAGGCCCUAAUCUAUGGAUUUUACAUGACUGGGCAGGGGUGCAGCCAUUGGUGGGCCUGGGAGGGCAUAGACCUCAUGCUGUUUAAUCAGCUUCUUGAUAUGCCACACCUGUCAGGUGGAUGGAUUAUCUUGGCUAAGGAGAAAUGCUCACUAACUAGGAUGUAAACAAAUGUGUACAAUUUUAAAUGAAAAACUUUUUGUGCGUGUUGAAUGUUUAUGGGAUCUUUUAUUUCAGCUCAUGAAACCAACACUUUAUGUUUCAUUUAUAUUUUUGUUCAGUAUACUUGGAUAGAACGAGAGCAUGGUAAGAGUGACCAACUCUCCAUCUCCUAGGUGCCCCCCCUGCAAGAGGGCCCCUCUCUUGUCAACGACUCCCAUAGUGGAGGCUAUUAUAAUAGCAAGGGUUUGCAGCCCCCUGGGGGCUUGAAGGCUCAUUCCACUAGCUCUUGGGCACUGAUUAAGGGCAUUUGUUUGCAAUACUGCACGUUGGGCCACCCCUCAUACAUUUGAGGUUUUAACAGCUGGAUGUUUCUGCUCCUUCGUUGGUGCAUACUGUCCUCAGGGGUGAUAUUGUUGGGACUAGUCUAGCUUCGGAGAGCAAGUGGGCAAUCUAUAUCCCCAUUGUGAGAAAGUGAAGCGAUAUAUUUGAAAUAGAACUUGGGGUUAAUUACGUAACCGAGAUUACGAAGUAACAUUUACGUCAUUGUGAGUGACUAGACUAAACACGAUUGCACUGCAUUUAAACACAUUUUCCAGCGAUAAUCCCAUGUCUGAAUGUCUGUGGUUGUACUUCACCUCUCAAACAACUGACUUGUCAUUUUUUUUAUGUUGUAAUCAAAUUUGAUUGAAUAUUAAAAUAUAUUUAUUAUUUCUACUGUAUAAGUUCUUUGUCCUGGGUCUAUGAAAAAUACUGUAUCUAC